rnacentral:tRNA from 1 species
AAAUGAUGGUUCAACCCCCUCCCCUACUA